UACAGAGGGGGCAAGCGUUGUUCGGAAUUACUGGGCGUAAAGGGCGCGUAGGCGGCCUUCUAAGUCGAACGUGAAAUCCCCGGGCUCAACCCGGGAACUGCGUCCGAUACUGGAAGGCUUGAAUCCGGGAGAGGGAUGCGGAAUUCCAGGCGUAGCGGUGAAAUGCGUAGAUAUCUGGAGGAACACCGGUGGCGAAGGCGGCAUCCUGGACCGGUAUUGACGCUGAGGCGCGAAAGCCAGGGGAGCAAACGGG
rnacentral:rRNA from 1 species